ACCGAUAACACAGACAUUAACAACAUGCAUAGUUGUCUUUAUACUGAACUGGUGGCUUUAUCACGCUUAGAUGGCGUCUAAAACAAGUAUGCUGGCUAUAACUUUCUGACCCGGAUUCAGAACCCAGAAACGGUUGAUUUUGAUAUCAUUUGUUAAUCAUUUGGCUUUUCGAGGUGCGCACAUGCGUAUUUGCGAUGAUAAAGACUGCAAGACCUGAAGUUAGACUAUAGGAAUGUUCAUUGAUAGAGUUAAGGUACUGGUGAUAUUUAUUUUCCUUAAAAAUGUAAGUAGCAUAGUUUCAGUGACAGAGAGCACAAUUUUCAGAAAGUAGCAUAAUUUUGGCAUAAUUUCUAAAAAAUACGAGCACUUCUAAAAGCACGUACAAUAUGCUUUUUUUUCGAGCACUAUCUACCAAAGCCUAUAAGAUACGGUAUGAUAUCCUAAGAUAUUGUAUGAUAUCCUAAGAUAUUGUUUGAUAUCGUAAGAUACUGUAUAAUAUCCUAAUGGAGCUGGCUCCAAGGAAGAACACUGGAUAGAUUCAUGCUCAUCCUUAUCUUUAUCUUCGUUAUCUUUAUCUUGCUUAUCCUUAUCUUUACCUUCUUAUAUUCCUUAUCUUUAUCUUCAUUAUCUUCUUAUCUUCCUUAUCUUUAUAUUCUUAUCUUUAUCUUCUUUCUCUUCUUUAUCCUUAUCUUUAUCUUCCUUAUCCUUAUCUUUAUCUUCUUAUCCUCCGUUAUCCUUAUCUUUAUCUUCUUAUCUUUCUUUUGUUCCUUAUCUUUAUCUUCUUAUCUUUCUUAUCUUUCUUAUCUUUCUUAUCUUUAUCUUCUUAUCUGUAUCUUCUUAUCUUUAUCUUCCUUAUCUUGUUUAUCCUUAUCUUUAUCUUCUUAUCUUCGUUAUUUUUAUCUUCUUAUCUUAUUAAUUUUUCUUAUGUUUAUCUCCCGCAUGUUCUUCCUUAUCCGUGCCAAUAGAGCUCGACUCCGGGCCAUUUAGAAUGGCUCCGAAUUGCCUACGCAGCUAAGCUCCGAGCUUUUUCUGCUCUCCUCCAAACCACACUGGCAAGGAUAAGGAAGAAGUUGCGGGAGAUAAAUAUAAGGAAUGUUCAGAAGAUAAGAAGAUAAAGAUAAGGAAGAUAAGAAGAUAAAGAUAAAGAUAAAAAUAAACAAAAUAAAGAUAAGGAUAAGCAAGGUAAGGAAGAUAAAGAUAAGAAGAUAAAGCCGAG